CGUCGCCCUCGGGCAACGGCGUUCCGGUCGGCUUCUCGUCGGUCGGGACGUCCGGCUUGGCGGACAGUUCCGCGUCCGAUUCGCCCAGCGACGGC
rnacentral:tRNA from 1 species